UUCUUCACAAUCAUGCAUUCGUGAGUUCUCUCAGCACCGCAGCACUGUCUUCGAGAAAGAACAGUCACCUCGGGAACAGGGCAUGACAGUGCUACAUUUCUCAUUUUUAUGUCUUCCCACCCACACCUUGUUACAUAACAUGCAACUACAUGUUCAUUUAGUGAGAAUCGUUACAUAACACACAACGACAUGCAAAUCCAGUGAGACUUCUGAAAGGCCUGCUCUCCACCAGUCGCAUCAUGGCUGACACACGUGGGCGGGGAUGCUUCCGUCUGCCUCAGGAACUCCCCCCCUCUCCAAACUUCUCAGCUGAAGCUUCGAGACCCUCCUAAGCCCUCAGACAUGAGCAUAGGUAUGAUGCUUUCAUGGACGCUGAUCUCCCUCUCUCCACCAACUAGACUUGUGCAGGACCCCAUCUGUAUCUGUCAUCAACUCUACACUAUUUUAAACCACAGUCAAGUCUGCUCACCCUCUGCUCAAACCUCCCUGUUCUCACCUUGGCAUUCUCAAGGUCCAUCUCAAGGUUUGUGUUCUAGUAAUUGAAGAGCUGAUUAAUACACCAAGUCGUCUCAAAGCAUACCACGAAGCAAGCAAGCUGACUGGGAGAGUAGAAAAGAGCUGCACCCUAAAACUACACAGAGUUAAGCACCAGAAAUGCAGGGAUGAAAAUGGAGAAGAGCCUGAGGAAAAGAAGGUCCAGCAACAGUUCCAAAGGUGGAUCCAGCUCAAGGGGAGCACCCAAGGCCUGACACCAUUAAUGAGGCUAUGGAGCACUCGCAAAUAGCGACAUAUCGUGCCUGCCCUCCAAAAGACCCAACAAGCAGCUGAAAGAGUCAGAUGCAGAAGUUUAUACCCAACCAAUGGACAGAAGCUGGUAAUCUCUAUGGUUGAAUUAGGGAGGAAACUAAGGAGGAGGGCGAACCUGGAAGAGAACCAGCAGUCUCAAUUAACCUGGACCCCGGAGAUCUCUCAGACACUGGAUCACUCACCAGGUAGCGUACACCAGCUGAGAUGAGGCCUUCAACACAUAUACAGCAAAGGUCUGCUGGGUCUGGCUUUGGUCAGAAUAGAUGCACCUAACCCUCAAGAGACUGGAGGUCCCAGGGAGUUUAGAGGUCUGCUGGGGUAGGUGAGGUGGGGACAUCCUGGUGGAGAUAGAGGGUGGGAAGGAGGUAUGGGAUGUGGAACAGUUGGAGGAUGGGCUGGGAAGGGAAUAAAAUCUGGAGUGUAAAAAUAAAUAAAUAAAUAAAUAAAUAAAUAAAUAAAUAAAUAAAUAAAUAAA